rnacentral:rRNA from 1 species
AACGAACGCUGGCGGCAUGCCUAACACAUGCAAGUCGAACGAACCCUUCGGGGUUAGUGGCGCACGGGUGCGUAACGCGUGGGAAUCUGCCCUUUGCUUCGGAAUAACAGUUAGAAAUGACUGCUAAUACCGGAUGAUGUCUACGGACCAAAGAUUUAUCGGCAAGGGAUGAGCCCGCGUAGGAUUAGGUAGUUGGUGGGGUAAAGGCCUACCAAGCCGACGAUCCUUAGCUGGUCUGAGAGGAUGAUCAGCCACACUGGGACUGAGACACGGCCCAGACUCCUACGGGAGGCAGCAGUGGGGAAUAUUGGACAAUGGGGGAAACCCUGAUCCAGCAAUGCCGCGUGAGUGAUGAAGGCCUUAGGGUUGUAAAGCUCUUUUACCAGGGAUGAUAAUGACAGUACCUGGAGAAUAAGCUCCGGCUAACUCCGUGCCAGCCGCCGCAGUAA